AUCUAGGCUCUUGCAUCGAUGAAGAACGUAGCGAAAUGCGAUACUUGGUGUGAAUUGCAGAAUCCCGUGAACCAUCGAGUCUUUGAACGCAAGUUGCGCCCGAUGCCAUUAGGUUGAGGGCACGUCUGCCUGGGUGUCACAUGUCGAAGCCUCCU
rnacentral:rRNA from 2 species